GGCGUGCUAAUCUGCGAUAAGCGCCGGUAAGGUGAUAUGAACCGUUAUAACCGGCGAUACCCGAAUGGGGAAACCCAGUGUGACUCGUCACACUAUCAUUAACUGAAUCCAUAGGUUAAUGAGGCGAACCGGGGGAACUGAAACAUCUAAGUACCCCGAGGAAAAGAAAUCAACCGAGAUUCCCCCAGUAGCGGCGAGCGAACGGGGAGGAGCCCAGAGCCUGAAUCAGCAUGUGUGUUAGUGGAAGCGUCUGGAAAGGCGCGCGAUACAGGGUGACAGCCCCGUACACAAAAGCGCAUGUGCUGUGAGCUCGAUGAGUAGGGCGGGACACGUGGUAUCCUGUCUGAAUAUGGGGGGACCAUCCUCCAAGGCUAAAUACUCCUGACUGACCGAUAGUGAACCAGUACCGUGAGGGAAAGGCGAAAAGAACCCCGGCGAGGGGAGUGAAAAAGAACCUGAAACCGUGUACGUACAAGCAGUGGGAGCACAGGUUUACCUGUGUGACUGCGUACCUUUUGUAUAAUGGGUCAGCGACUUAUAUUCUGUAGCAAGGUUAACCGUAUAGGGGAGCCGUAGGGAAACCGAGUCUUAACCGGGCGUUAAGUUGCAGGGUAUAGACCCGAAACCCGGUGAUCUAGCCAUGGGCAGGUUGAAGGUUGGGUAACACUAACUGGAGGACCGAACCGACUAAUGUUGAAAAAUUAGCGGAUGACCUGUGGCUGGGGGUGAAAGGCCAAUCAAACCGGGAGAUAGCUGGUUCUCCCCGAAAGCUAUUUAGGUAGCGCCUCGUGAAUUCAUCUCCGGGGGUAGAGCACUGUUUCGGCUAGGGGGCCAUCCCGGCUUACCAACCCGAUGCAAACUGCGAAUACCGGAGAAUGUUAUCACGGGAGACACACGGCGGGUGCUAACGUCCGUCGUGAAGAGGGAAACAACCCAGACCGCCAGCUAAGGUCCCAAAGUCAUGGUUAAGUGGGAAACGAUGUGGGAAGGCCCAGACAGCCAGGAUGUUGGCUUAGAAGCAGCCAUCAUUUAAAGAAAGCGUAAUAGCUCACUGGUCGAGUCGGCCUGCGCGGAAGAUGUAACGGGGCUAAACCAU
rnacentral:rRNA from 1 species